GGGUGAGUAACACGUGGGGAACCUGCCCCAUAGUCUGGGAUACCACUUGGAAACAGGUGCUAAUACCGGAUAAGAAAGCAGAUCGCAUGAUCAGCUUAUAAAAGGCGGCGUAAGCUGUCGCUAUGGGAUGGCCCCGCGGUGCAUUAGCUAGUUGGUAAGGUAACGGCUUACCAAGGCAAUGAUGCAUAGCCGAGUUGAGAGACUGAUCGGCCACAUUGGGACUGAGACACGGCCCAAACUCCUACGGGAGGCAGCAGUAGGGAAUCUUCCACAAUGGACGCAAGUCUGAUGGAGCAACGCCGCGUGAGUGAAGAAGGUUUUCGGAUCGUAAAGCUCUGUUGUUGGUGAAGAAGGAUAGAGGUAGUAACUGGCCUUUAUUUGACGGUGAUCAACCAGAAAGUCACGGCUAACUACGUGCCAGCAGCCGCGGUAAUACGUAGGUGGCAAGCGUUGUCCGGAUUUAUUGGGCGUAAAGCGAGCGCAGGCGGAAGAAUAAGUCUGAUGUGAAAGCCCUCGGCUUAACCGAGGAACUGCAUCGGAAACUGUUUUUCUUGAGUGCAGAAGAGGAGAGUGGAAUUCCAUGUGUAGCGGUGGAAUGCGUAGAUAUAUGGAAGAACACCAGUGGCGAAGGCGACUCUCUGGUCUGCAACUGACGCUGAGGCUCGAAAGCAUGGGUAGCGAACAGGAUUAGAUACCCUGGUAGUCCAUGCCGUAAACGAUGAGUGCUAAGUGUUGGGAGGUUUCCGCCUCUCAGUGCUGCAGCUAACGCAUUAAGCACUCCGCCUGGGGAGUACGACCGCAAGGUUGAAACUCAAAGGAAUUGACGGGGGCCCGCACAAGCGGUGGAGCAUGUGGUUUAAUUCGAAGCAACGCGAAGAACCUUACCAGGUCUUGACAUC
rnacentral:rRNA from 1 species